rnacentral:lncRNA from 10 species
UAGCGGCUGAAACCUAGAGAAGUGGGAGAACCGAGAAAGGUUUCAGAUACCGUAUUUAUUCAGACUCAAGAAUGCACAGUUGAGACCAGGCGCAGUGGCUCAUGCCUGUAAUCCCAGCACUUUGAGAAGCCAAAGACAGCAGAUCACCUGAGGGAAUAUCUGAUCAGUUACCUGCUGUAAUGCAGUUCAAGUUGACAAGUGGGUACUGCACAAGAUCAGACUACAAUUUACUUGCACUGUAAUUCCAGAUGGACUUCAGAACCUUAAGAUAUUAACAACAGACAUCAUCUUUGGCUAGAGAAUAAAGAAUUUUGGCAAGAAUAAA